AUUGAACGCUGGCGGCAGGCUUAACACAUGUAAGUCGAGCGGAGAUGAAGUGCUUGCACCUUAUCUUAGCGGCGGACGGGUGAGUAAUGCUUAGGAAUCUGCCUAUUAGUGGGGGACAACAUUCCGAAAGGAAUGCUAAUACCGCAUACGUCCUACGGGAGAAAGCAGGGGAUCUUCGGACCUUGCGCUAAUAGAUGAGCCUAAGUCGGAUUAGCUAGUUGGUGGGGUAAAGGCCUACCAAGGCGACGAUCUGUAGCGGGUCUGAGAGGAUGAUCCGCCACACUGGGACUGAGACACGGCCCAGACUCCUACGGGAGGCAGCAGUGGGGAAUAUUGGACAAUGGGGGGAACCCUGAUCCAGCCAUGCCGCGUGUGUGAAGAAGGCCUUAUGGUUGUAAAGCACUUUAAGCGAGGAGGAGGCUACUGAGACUAAUACUCUUGGAUAGUGGACGUUACUCGCAGAAUAAGCACCGGCUAACUCUGUGCCAGCCGCCGCUGUAACAC
rnacentral:rRNA from 1 species